UACGGAGUGUGCAAGCGUUACUCGGAAUCACUGGGCAUAAAGGGCGUGUAGGCGGGCUUUCAAGUCGGUUGUGAAAUCCCUCAGCUCAACUGAGGAACUGCAUCCGAUACUGUUUGUCUUGAGGACGAGAGGGGAGAGUGGAACUUCUGGUGGAGCGGUGAAAUGCGUAGAUAUCAGAAGGAACGCCGGUGGCGAAAGCGACUCUCUGGCUCGUAACUGACGCUGAAACGCGAAAGCUUGGGUAGCAAACGGG
rnacentral:rRNA from 1 species